GUGGGUAGUUUGACUGGGGCGGUCUCCUCCUAAAGAGUAACGGAGGAGCACGAAGGUUGGCUAAUCCUGGUCGGACAUCAGGAGGUUAGUGCAAUGGCAUAAGCCAGCUUGACUGCGAGCGUGACGGCGCGAGCAGGUGCGAAAGCAGGUCAUAGUGAUCCGGUGGUUCUGAAUGGAAGGGCCAUCGCUCAACGGAUAAAAGGUACUCCGGGGAUAACAGGCUGAUACCGCCCAAGAGUUCAUAUCGACGGCGGUGUUUGGCACCUCGAUGUCGGCUCAUCACAUCCUGGGGCUGAAGUAGGUCCCAAGGGUAUGGCUGUUCGCCAUUUAAAGUGGUACGCGAGCUGGGUUUAGAACGUCGUGAGACAGUUCGGUCCCUAUCUGCCGUGGGCGCUGGAGAACUGAGGGGGGCUGCUCCUAGUACGAGAGGACCGGAGUGGACGCAUCACUGGUGUUCGGGUUGUCAUGCCAAUGGCACUGCCCGGUAGCUAAAUGCGGAAGAGAUAAGUGCUGAAAGCAUCUAAGCACGAAACUUGCCCCGAGAUGAGUUCUCCCUGAGACUUAGAGUCUCCUGAAGGAACGUUGAAGACGACGACGUUGAUAGGCCGGGUGUGUAAGCGCAGCGAUGCGUUGAGCUAACCGGUACUAAUGAACCGUGAGGCUUAACCUUACA
rnacentral:rRNA from 49 species